GCCGAUGUGGUGCUUAGUGAUUGCGGUUUCGGUCGCUCACCCGUGUUUCCCGGGCUGGGUAUUUGCCUCGCACCAUGGCGCCCAAGGGCAAAGUGGGCACGAGAGGGAAGAAGCAGAUAUUUGAAGAGAACAGAGAGACCCUGAAGUUCUACCUGCGGAUCAUACUGGGGGCCAAUGCCAUUUACUGCCUUGUGACAUUGGUCUUCUUUUACUCAUCUGCCUCAUUUUGGGCCUGGGUAAGUAUCUCCAUCCUGGGAGGUGGAUGAGUGCAUAGGGUCAGUGGCUGGCCUUUGACACCCUCAUUCUUGCUCUGCAGUUGGCCCUGGGCUUUAGUCUGGCAGUGUAUGGGGCCAGCUACCACUCUAUGAGCUCGAUGGCACGAGCAGCGUUCUCUGAGGAUGGGGCCCUGAUGGAUGGUGGCAUGGACCUCAACAUGGAGCAGGGCAUGGCAGAGUGAGUGUCCCCCACCGCCAGCCCAGGUGAGCGGCCCCAGGGCUGGGGCCCAGAUAGCCCAAGAAGCACAGCUACUUUCAACUUGAAAAGGGUGGAAGGGAGUUGAACUGGGGCCCAUAUGCUGUCUUUCCAGCUUUAUUUCUAUCCACAGGCACCUUAAGGAUGUGAUCCUACUGACAGCCAUCGUGCAGGUGCUCAGCUGCUUCUCUCUCUAUGUCUGGUCCUUCUGGCUUCUGGUACGUGGGCUGGGGGCGCUCCCAAGAAGGGGCAUCUAACCCUCCCCAUCUUUUAUUCCCGGCACCUUGCUUCAA
rnacentral:sRNA from 1 species